rfam:Thermosphaera aggregans DSM 11486, complete genome.
GCGGGGGUGCCCGAGCUUGGCCAAAGGGGGCGGACUCAAGACUUGCCCAGGGAGAGAUCCGCUGGCGUAGGCCUGCGUGGGUUCAAAUCCCACCCCCCGCA